rnacentral:tRNA from 1 species
CGGUCGGUGGCUAAGUCUGGCUAAAGCAACGGACUUUUAAUCCGUGUAUCGUGGGUUCAAAUCCCACCCGACCGACCA